GUCUGUGGCAUAGGGGUUUGAGUGUCGGUUCAAGACCCUGGAGACCAGGGUUCGAUUCCCAGCUCAGCCG